rnacentral:rRNA from 1 species
AUACGUAGGUGACAAGCGUUAUCCGGAUUUACUGGGCGUAAAGGGCGUGUAGGCGGUCUUGCAAGUCAGAAGUGAAAUUCCUGAGCUCAACUCGGGCGCUGCUUCUGAAACUGCAGGACUUGAGUGCUGGAGGGGAUAGCGGAAUUCCUAGUGGAGCGGUAAAAUGCGCAGAUAUUAGGAAGAACACCGGUGGCGAAGGCGGAUCUCUGGACAGUAACAGACGCUGAGGCGCGAAAGCGCGGGGAGAAAACAGGAUUAGAUACCCGGGUAGUCCACGCCGUAAACGAUGAAUACUAGGUGUAGGGGGUAUCGACUCCCUCUGUGCCGCAGUUAACACAAUAAGUAUUCCGCCUGGGGAGUACGGCCGCAAGGUUGAAACUCAAAUGAAUUGACGGGG